UAUGUAGGGUGCGAGCGUUAAUCGGAAUUACUGGGCGUAAAGCGUGCGCAGGCGGUUUCGCAAGUCAGAUGUGAAAGCCCCGGGCUUAACCUGGGAACUGCGUUUGAAACUACGAAGCUAGAGUGUAGCAGAGGGGGGUGGAAUUCCACGUGUAGCAGUGAAAUGCGUAGAGAUGUGGAGGAACACCGAUGGCGAAGGCAGCCCCCUGGGCUAACACUGACGCUCAGGCGCGAAAGCGUGGGGAGCAAACAGG
rnacentral:rRNA from 1 species